UGGGGAAUCUUGCGCAAUGGCCGAAAGGCUGACGCAGCGACGCCGCGUGUGGGAUGAAGCAUUUCGGUGUGUAAACCACUGUUGCCCGGGACGAACAGCCUUUUUCGAGAGGCCUGACGGUACCGGGUGAGGAAGCACCGGCUAACUCCGUGCCAGCAGCCGCGGUAAUACGGAGGGUGCGAGCGUUGUCCGGAAUCACUGGGCGUAAAGGGCGCGUAGGUGGCGCGGGCAGUCAACGGUGAAAGUUCGGGGCUCAACCCUGAAUCGGCCGUCGAUACUCCCGGGCUUGAGCACUGUAGAGGCUAAUGGAAUUCCGGGUGUAGCGGUGGAAUGCGUAGAGAUCCGGAAGAACACCGGUGGCGAAGGCGGUUAGCUGGGCAGUUGCUGACACUGAGGCGCGACAGCGUGGGGAGCAAACAG
rnacentral:rRNA from 1 species